CAGCAGCCACGGGAAUACGUAGGUGGCGAGCGUUGUCCGGAAUUAUUGGGCGUAAAGGGAGCGCAGGCGGACAUAUAAGUCCAUCUUAAAAGUGCGGGGCUCAACCCCGUGAGGGGAUGGAAACUGUAUGCCUUGAGUGCAGGAGAGGAAAGCGGAAUUCCCAGUGUAGCGGUGAAAUGCGUAGAUAUUGGGAGGAACACCAGUGGCGAAGGCGGCUUUCUGGACUGCAACUGACGCUGAGGCGCGAAAGCCAGGGGAGCGAACGGGAUUAGAUACCCCUGUAGUCCCUGUCUCUUAUACA
rnacentral:rRNA from 1 species